AACGAGUAACCUCUCCAUCUCCAUCUCGCCCCGACGCUCCUCUGCUUCCAGUCGCUGCCGGCCCUGUCCCAUCGCUACAUUGCUGAUACUUGCAUUGACCAUUUGGAGCUGCUAGCUUGUCUGAAGGCUUCUUCCUCAAGAAGAGUUACUGUACUUGGAGUUUGUGCACCUGGUACUGACUCUUAUCUACGUUUCUUU